rnacentral:rRNA from 1 species
CAGCAGCCACGGUAAUACGUAGGUGGCAAGCGUUAUCCGGAAUUAUUGGGCGUAAAGCGCGCGUAGGCGGUUUUUUAAGUCUGAUGUGAAAGCCCACGGCUCAACCGUGGAGGGUCAUUGGAAACUGGAAAACUUGAGUGCAGAAGAGGAAAGUGGGAUUCCAUGUGUAGCGGUGAAAUGCGCAGAGAUAUGGAGGAACGCCAGUGGCGAAGGCGACUUUCUGGUCUGUAACUGACGCUGAUGUGCGAAAGCGUGGGGAUCAAACAGGAUUAGAUACCCCCGUAGUCCCUGUCUCUUAUAC